AACCAUAAAGCUAGGCUAUGGGUUUGGCAAAGAUUUUUGGUGAAGAAGGCCAAGGAGAAGGAAUACGCCGUGAUUUUUGAAGAAGAAAGGGUUAGAACGAGGUCAUUCCGGACGAUUUGGAUUAGAAGUGGGUCGUUGGCCGAGUUCGUGUGUUGCUGUUCCUAUAGCUUCAAGUUCUUCCCUUUUGGUAUUCCAUCGAUUUACUCGCUUUUCUUUCAAUGUUGAACUCUGUGAGGUCCGCCUACCUGGGAGCGCGCCUCACCCCUUUGUUUUAUUGUUAUUGUUGAACUCCUUUCAUUUCAGUUAUGACGUAAGCCCUAAGGCGCCACAGUGCACUU